rnacentral:rRNA from 1 species
ANUACGUGCCAGCAGCCGCGGUAAUACGUAGNUCCCGAGCGUUGUCCGGAUUUAUUGGGCGUAAAGCGAGCGCAGGCGGUUAGAUAAGUCUGAAGUUAAAGGCAGUGGCUCAACCAUUGUAGGCUUUGGAAACUGUUUAACUUGAGUGCAGAAGGGGAGAGUGGAAUUCCAUGUGUAGCGGUGAAAUGCGUAGAUAUAUGGAGGAACACCGGUGGCGAAAGCGGCUCUCUGGUCUGUAACUGACGCUGAGGCUCGAAAGCGUGGGGAGAGAACAGGAUUAGAUACCCUGGUAGUCCACGCCGUAAACGAUGAGUGCUAGGUGUUAGGUCCUUUCCGGGCCUUAGUGCCGCAGCUAACGCAUUAAGCACUCCGCCUGGGGAGUACGACCGCAAGGUUGAAACUCAAAGGAAUUGACGGGGGCCCGCACAAGCGGUGGAGCAUGUGGUUUAAUUCGAAGCAACGCGAAGAACCUUACCAGGUCUUGACAUCCCGAUGCCCGCUCUAGAGAUAGAGCUUUACUUCGGUACAUCGGUGACAGGUGGUGCAUGGUUGUCGUCAGCUCGUGUCGUGAGAUGUUGGGUUAAGUCCCGCAACGAGCGCAACCCUUAUUGUUAGUUGCCAUCAUUCAGUUGGGCACUCUAGCGAGACUGCCGGUAAUAAACCGGAGGAAGGUGGGGAUGACGUCAAAUCAUCAUGCCCCUUAUGACCUGGGCUACACACGUGCUACAAUGGCUGGUACAACGAGUCGCAAGCCGGUGACGGCAAGCUAAUCUCUGAAAGCCAGUCUCAGUUCGGAUUGUAGGCUGCAACUCGCCUACAUGAAGUCGGAAUCGCUAGUAAUCGCGGAUCAGCACGCCGCGGUGAAUACGUUCCCGGGCCUUGUACACACCGCCCGUCACACCACGAGAGUUUGUAACACCCGAA